CAGCCAGUUUGAAUUAAAAGCACCACCACACUUGAGUUAUGAGGUUUUGUGUGUGGAUGUGACUUGAGUUAGGGGCAGCAUGCAAGUUCAUAAUUCAUGUUAACUUUGCAGUGCAGACAAACACUCAGUGACACUCUGACUGUUGUGGUAAAACAAGAGACCUGUGUAGCAAGAUAUAGUCCACAUAAUAGGGUUUUACUGUUGUACUGAAAGCCACUGGAAUUCCAUAAAAUAAACAGAGCUGCCAGAUUUAAAGCAGAUGCAUGUAACAACAAUCAGAUUUCAUCUCUAUUUUAAUCUUCUGAAACCUCUGCACUCAGAGCUCAAAGAAACUGGAAACUGAAUGAGGAGAAUGCUGGUUGGUUAUCAGCCUCGGAACGAUUUGGGGGUGUAUUGUAGGAAUGGAUGAAAUGGCUUGGUUAAAAUAACUAGAUUGGAUAUAACAAGUGUUGGAGUCUGACUAUAAAAGAAUUUCCAAAAUUUCUGAAUGUGACUUUUUAGCAGAUACAGCCUGGACGAUGUCCAUGCUAAAUAUAUUGCCAGAGACGGGAUCAUUCACUAAGUGAAACAGCAAGCUAUGAAGUUUUGUUGGCUGUCACUAAACUGCAUACCCCCAAAAGAAUUGCAGGUGGAGUACAUCAGCUGGUACCCUAAAGUAUUGCUCAUAAAUGGAGAAUCACAAACACAUUUUUUAUUUGUCAUGGCAACAUCUUGGAGUCUUUAUUAUAGCAGAACAAAAGAAUCAACUAAAGACAUGUGGGCCUGCUUCUCUGUUGCCCUGCUCAUUGAGUUAUCUUUUACACUAAUACAAAGUGGGUGUAAACACUACCAUUUUAUCACUCUGCACUGGUAUAAAAUACUCAUAUGGAGUUUGACCUGUGCCAAUGAAAGCAAUGUCAAAACUCCCAUUGAUUUCAGUGGUGCAGAAUCUGGGCCUUAGUGCAGGGUAACAGAGAAUCAGGCAUUUGUGAUUCUGCGAGGUUGCAGGGCUCCAUGCUAAGGCAUCUUGCUGUAGCAGGACCUGAGACUGUAAACUUCCUGGGGCAAGAACCAGGGCUUUAACCUCUAGUGAUGGGGUGUACUCCCUAUACUGGUCCUGAGAGCUGAAUAAGGCCAGGUGGACCCAAUCAAGCAGCAAAUGAGAGAGAUUUAGGCUGUUUAGAGAGCCUUGAUUAGAAAGAAGCUGAGCUGUGGGGGAACAGGAGGGGGAUUCUAUAAAGCUAGGAGGCUGGUGAUAGUGUGGGGGGUAGGGGUCAGCAAGGAGGAAGUCUGUAGUGUCUCCUCCUGGAGUAACAGAGAAGGAACAGGAAAUAGGAACCCAUCCGACCUAGAGGCCUGAGAGAGAGCAGGGUCUGACUAGCAGGACUGGAGAAACAUGGUAGGAUAUAGUCUAGGGGCUAGAGUAGUAAAGUAGAGGGGCAGGAUUCCAUUGUGUGCUGACUGCCCUCCAUUCUCAUCAACUUCAGUAGGAACAGAGUCCCUCGGCACAUCACAGGCGCCUCAAAAGAUUCCCCGUUACAAAACAAGUAGGAGAAAUUGUGAUGGGGAGGUUAAAUGUCAUUCCUAAGAUCAUAGACUAAGUCUACUGGAAGUUGGAUUGGAACUCAGGACUCAGGAGUUUCUUGUCUCUUUGUUCUAUCUUCACACCUUUACACCAUUCCUCUUACAGGGCCAAAUCAUCCCUCUUUAACAGAAUGGCAUCCCUCUUCAAGGCUUGAGAAGCCCAGGACUGGCCAUCCCUGUUUAAUUAGCUGCACUAUGCUGGUUGUAGGACUUAAAAAGAGAGGGAGCCCAGCACCUGGGGGGCUGGUUGUGGAGCAGAGCAGCUGAGCUGGGUCAUGGCAGGAGAGCGGAGCUACACGAAAGGAGAUCAUUUGUGGUGAGCCCCUAAGAUGAGGGGCCAGGCUCCAGGGUGGCCGGCCUGGGGCCAGUGUUCCACAAAGGAACAGGGAAUUGAAGAGAAGCACAGGAGGGUCGUCAGACCAUUGCAGUUUACGUGGUAGUUGGACUCCAAGCAGAGGAAUGCCCAAGGGGUCAAUGCACUAAGAGUGAACAGAACUGUGAGUUGAUCCCAGGAACAGCCAAAGACCUCUUGUGUUAACUUAGGACUGUUGUUGAAGGUGGUAUAUUUUGAGUACCCCAGAAGGGACUGAACUCUUAAGUGACCUGGCUGGAGGACUAGGCCAACAGAGACCCAGACAGUGGUGACCAAGAGCGAAUGCCCAACAACCCUGCACCCAGCCACCAAGGGGCUCUGGCCAGUGAGUUGCUUCUGUACACCUGGUGUUUGGUCUGGGAUGGCUCUGUAAUACCUUCUUAUGGGAAAAACAGAAGGGCUACAUAGUAUGGGAUUAUCCGGGGUGGAUGGGGGGUGGGUGCAGAGUAUGUGGCCCAUGGAGGUGGCAAGGAGUGUGGCACUCCCAAGCCAUUCAUGUCCCAAGGCCUGUGAGGAGAUUCAGAGCUCAGAUUGGGUGCACAGGCUGUCAAUAUCAGCAUUACCUUGGGCUGAAAACUCCCCAUUUUUAUUCAGGGAAGGAUGAUGCAGAGUUGAGUGACCCUGCUCCACCCCCACCCCCCACACCAAUAGCCAUCUCCUUGUCUCUGACUCAUAGAGUCAGAGGAGAUGGUUGAGAGAAGAAAUAGUCACUGGGGUCCCUCUUUUCUCUAUGAAGGAUGGGUACUCAAAUACUAUGGUGAUAGGUGCAAUAUACAAACCUGAAUGGACUGAAAUGGAACAGAAUAGAAUCGUGAGCAUCAGUACGUAACACACCACUUGUCGUACUAAUUUUUUCUCUCCUUACCCUCUCCUCUCACUCCUUUAUCUCCUUUCCUCUCAUUUUUAGUGAUUAAUCUUUCAGUAUGCACUUAAAUAAAUCAUCAAAUAUCGAUAAAGAACUCAAAUCUUAUGAUGCCUAAUCAACUGCUACACCAAAGUGAAGACAUUUAUUUUAUUAUAUCUGCUGAUGGGCGAAAUUCUGAUCUCAAUUACAGUCAAUACAAACACCUGCCAGGGAUGGUCUAGAUAAUACUUAGUCCUUCCAGGAAUGCAGGGGACUGGACUAGAUGACCUUUCAAGGUCCCUUCCACUCCUAUGAUUUACAUCACUGGACUGUAAGUGAGAUCACAAUCUGGCCAGAUAUUUCUUAUUCUUUCCAAAGACUAAGAAUGAAUUUCUUAUUUGCUCACAACUGGCAUUUGUUGAAUUAAUUUGUACUCAGUGUGUCUUCCCCCCCUCUCCUAAAAAAACAUAAACAAAAAAGGGUACGUGCAGUUUCAACAUACUUGAUUCUCUUUCUGUUGCAUCACUCUCAAAACAUAUCACCAGAAAUGAUGAAGCCACUUAAACUUUCAAACAAAGAAUCCAAAACAGUUUAUGUUCGCAAAUUGUACAUAGUUAAACAAUCUUUGAAAAUAUUGUUUCCUGUGGAGCAAGUUCAAUAACAUUGGAAUUUAAUGACAAAAGGAUAAUACACCAACAGCUAUUUACAGAAGUAGAGGGAGGUGUUAUUAUGAAAAGGCUAUUUUCUCCCACAGUCUUCCAAACAGGAACUAAAUAACUGGACUUGUAAAAUCACUAAAGCAUCGUAUGAAAACCCAACUCAGAGAAAAAUACAUCCCCAAGCAUUCUCAUAAUGGCUGUGUGCAUUUGACAAGCAGAAUGGAAACUUUGGUAUCACAAAGAAAUUCAAUAUUGCAUCAAAUAGGAAACCAUUAUCUUUAUAGUUGAAUUAAAAAAAUGUGAAUGAAAAAGAGAAAACGGAAUUUCAUCACUUAGAAAAAUAAAUGAGUCUCUGACAAAAAUCUGCCCCCUGACAAACGUCCUUAUUGGUUCAUCUACUAAUGGACCAUACAUAAAACCCUUUAGAGAAAUCCACAGGGUGGAGUGAUCGGGCAGGCUUUCUGAGCCUUGCUCUUCACUGUCUUGCACUUGUGUCGUCAUGCACCCUUGUGCAGAGUGCAUGUAAACUGAAUAGGGCUGCCCAGAGGUGGGGUCAAAAGGGGAGAAUUUGCCCCAGGCCUCUCACUACAGCAGGCACCCAAACCUGUGGAAUUUGAAUGAGGGGCAUUUUGACCCGGUGCACAGGGUCAUAAGACUAAGUAGGUCUGGGCUUGUCACUGGGUGCUGAGGGGCUCCGACACCCUGUGUGUCUGGUCACAACUCCACUUACUCAAAUUUUGCCCCGCCAUCUUCCACCCCUUGUGAUGAAGGAGGGGCAGCUGGGCCAAACCUCCUGAAUGGUAUUGCGACCCUGCAUGUUAGGUCACAAUGCCACUCACUCAGAUUUGAUCCAGUGACUCCUGUACAAACACAGAACAAAAAGCUGGCCCCUGCUCCAAUGGUACAUUUCUUAUUUCCCAAGAAGGAGAUAAAGGAGUCAAUGUAGCUUCAGAAGAUAGUAUGAUACUAUAGCACUGACAGACACCUUAGCAAAUACCUAAGAUAGAUGGCCUUUAUUGUAUUAUCAUUCAUAGUCAAUGAUUUCAAAUACUUUUAAAGUUGUGUUUAUGAUAUAAGCCUUAUCCCUGUUGGAUGGAUGUUAGGCCGGUGAAGGGGAGCAGAGUUAAAGUUGGUUUUUGAAUGUCAUAAUUUAGCUGUGUAUAUUUAAUGGCCUCACAAAUCAUGUAGACUAUUUAGAUCAAUAUCUCUCUUAUUUGAACUGUUUAUUUCCAUACCUUUAAAUGCUUAGGAUGUUUUUUAGUGUAACAUUCCUUGGUAUUUAUGUUAAGACUUUUUGAGCCACCCUAUUAAUUUUAAGUCUAAGUAAAGAUCCCAAAUUUGGCUUUUCCAAACCAGCCCAGUGAUGUUUUUGGAUGGCUUUCCUCCAGAUAUGUGCCUUCAAUCUUUGUUUAAACUUGUUGCCAUGCUCUCCCUCUCCUCUAGUUGACGCAUCAGAAUGGCUAAACCAUUGCUGUAAAAGAUGGACAGCAAAUUUUUAUACAGCCAACUUUUCAGCUAGAAAUAAAAUGUAACCCGACAAUCCACUACAUUUAUUUUGCUGGAGGUUGAAAUGCCUUUCUGUACCCAGUAAUUAAGUCCAUUCCAAAGUGUGUGAUCCCCAUGCAAUGUAAGCAAAUUCUAGCCUGAUACUACCUGUCAGAUGGAAAGUGAAGUCUUCACAGUAAAAGUAUUUGGCCAUCUAAAACGGGGCUGAUCAUUGUUACAUCACAUCACCUCACUCCAAAUGUUUGAGUCGUUACAAACUGUUUUUCUGGACAGGGAAAGACCCAGACCAAAGCUGAUUUCCAGGGAUGUGUUAAUGAUCUUUCUUUUUUUAUAUAUCCCCCAUGCUAACCCUAGGGUCUCGUCUAGGGUCAGCACAGAUGCAUGCUUAAUAGGACUGUAACACAGUGCUUUGAAUUUUUUUUUAUUAACAGACUUAUAAAUAUAUCUUUGUGCUAAGAACCAGAAGAAAAAUGUGCUAAAUAUUCUAUCAUGAUACAGUUUGUGCUGAGACUGGCAUUACGGAGGGAAGGGAGCGCCUUGGUAUAUUGCACAUUCCAGGUUUGUUGUCAACUGAGCUUAAAAAGAUAAAGUAUAAUUUGUUGCUUGCUAUCAGUCAUGAGAAAUGUAGCCUGAUAAUUUUGAAGUAAUGUUUAGAUUGCCAUUCCUGGGCUAUUACACUGGUUGAAAAUGUUGGGAGAAGGGAUUUAUUUUGCUCUUCCUUGCAGUAAUAAGUCUCAGGUUAAUAAUGGUGCAAGCUUCAAAGUCUGUUUUGCUCAUAGCUGGCUGGGAUAGCAGGUAGAAGCUAAGGUCUGAUUUGUAAUGAAUUGGCAUCAUAUCACUUCCAAAAAGUGCCUUUUGGCACUGCAAUGAAGAGUUAUUAACAGUGUGGCUGGAUGACUAUGGAAAAAUAACAUGCUAUUAUGAAUGGCCCUAAUGACCCAGGUUAGAUACCUGACAAAUAGGUGAACUUGUUUGUUUGGGGCAUCAUUUUACUAAACACCAAGGCCACUUUACACUGCACUACUUGAGCAGUGGAAAGUGGCCCUGGUAUAAAUGAAAAUUGGGCCCUUAGAAAUAUUCAGCUUUCUGUACUCUAACUUUUUAGGACAAUAUUGAUCAGCCCAGAAUAUUUCCCCAGAUAUGAAUGGGAACUUGCAGCUGCAACAUUCUGUCCAGGCUUAGGCCUCAGAAUGGUCUUGUAACAAGUGAGAGUCUAUAUCAAAAGUACUAGGCUAAUUCCGAGAGUGCCAGCUUUUAACCCUUGAAUACCUUUGUAAAAGUGCGCUAUGCUUGUCACUGCACCUGGCGUGGAUCACAGCUGAGAGAGCCAAUCUCAGGUCAGACUGAUAAAAACUUGGCAGACACUACCACACUGGCAGUUUAUUCUAUCAUCAGAUUUAACCAAACCAGCCACAACUGUGUGCUCCUGGAUCCCUAUAUUGGCUUAAUGUGGAGCCGCAGUCAGUCCCCUGAGACCCUCCAGCCCAUAUUACCACCCAAGCAAACUGGACUUCUGUGAUGAAAGGUUAUUAAAAUCAAAAAUCACUACACAUUUGGCUCUUUUAGCCCCAGGGGCCUGUCACUUACCCAGGUCAAUGGAUGCUCAGGACUUUACACCCGAAAACAAUGCUGGGGCCAAUGCUUUAGUAAACUAACUAAAACUUUCUUAACGAAGAACAAGAAAUGGAAGUUAAGUGGUUCAAACAAGUAAAAUACAUUACAGUUGGAUCAGUGUAUGUAGUCCAAAAUGUUAGGAGGGGUGUUAAAUCUGCUAGUUUUUUAUAAGUCUCUCUGGGUUGCCCAAAUGGCUUUGGGGACCUCAGUCCUUUUGUUCAAAACUUUCCGUCAGAAUUUACCAGUCCAGAGAUUGGGUAGGAAAAAGGUAGCCAAGGGCCUUUGUUUUCCCUUUUUAUAUCUUGAUCCUUUUUGCUGGAAAAAUCUUGGCUGUGUCCUGGGUCAGGCAGUUUCAUGGCAUAUGUGCUUGGCCAUCAGUCCUUCAUAUGAAUUGCAAAUUCAAGCUUGCUACCUAUGUACAGUGUGAGGUGUCUUCGGGGAGGAUGUGCAGAUGCCCUUGUUUACAGCUCCUUUGUUGCUUCCAAAGAAUUAACCUGUGGGCAUGUCUCAGACCCUCCACAUGUUUGAGUUACAAACAUAGCAAAAUUUCAUAACUCCACACACAAUGUUGAUAUAUAUAUUACAAGAAGAUAAUAAUAUUCAGCAGAUUACAACUUUUCCAGUGAUGUCUCACAAGGCAUACUUUGUACAAGAUAUAUCACAAUUUUGUAACGGUGGUGACCAUAUUAAUUAAUGUCCCCUUCCCCUUUGGACAUUAUUACACGCUCUCAGCCACUCUGUGGCUCAUCCACAGAAGGUAGCUCAAUGCUGCUGCUCCCAGCUAAUGGACUUAAGGCAAAAUUUUGGAAAUCUCUAAGGGACUCCAUUUGCAAAAGCCCUCUGGGUGCUUUUGGUCGUAUAUUGA